UUUCAAGCAAUGUGUGUGGAUUACCUAUAUGUGAUAGCAAGUUGCAUGCAUGAUGGCAAUGAUGCCUAGCUGUAUGCUAAUAUCUUUGUUUGGUGAGGGAUGUCUACAGAAAAUACUCUAUGAUAUGUUGAAAACUAGUUGCAGCGAAAUCCCUCUUUGCUCUGCUCAAAUACUCUGCAAGAAGAGAUUCACAUGUAAUCCUUAAUCUUUCAGCAGUUACAGAUGAGUCGUGUCAAGAACCAAUGGUUUGUUUUGACCCUCCAGUUAUAUGGAAGGAUGUUGUAGAGCACUUGACGUUUUGAAUGACUGAUCUUUUAGGGUGCAGUGACAACAACAUAAUUGGAGAUUUUCGUAAUGGUCUACAUAUCCCUGAGGAAGAGCCCUUGUUAAGCUAGAGGAGCAGUCUAUUUGGAGUUUCUUUUUGGUUUUUUAUGGAUGUGAUAUUUGCUUUGUGAAGAGAAUUUGAAGGAAAUGGGGAAGAGAUACUUAUGGAAGACAUCUAUGAAGGAUUUAAUCUACUUGAGGUGUGAUUCAAUCUAGUUGCUUAAGUAUGAAAGAAAGAAGAAAGGUAGAAACAAACAAAUAUUGUGUUUGGGGUUGUUGCCACCAUGAAUCUGCAACAAAGUAUUAAAUUAAUAAGUUUAAAUGAAAGAGCUAUGUUACUAAAUCAGCUGGAAAAUUGGUUGUUUCUAGGUAUGAGUCAUAUUGGAAUUGUGGCUUUGCACAGGGUCUGGCUCGUAAUAGUCAGAAUCAUCUGUAAAUAUUGCAGGUUGAACCUGGGUGAUUCUGAGGUUAAUGUGGAAAAUCCAGAAAGAUUCCAGAAGUCAACAAAAUUUUCAACUCAUUUGUUGUUGACUCUUUGGCCCAUUAAGCCCUGAAAACUGUCACCAAAUACUAACACUAUAUCUGCAAAUUUCUCAAGGCAUAUUUACCUAUUUUGUGUGUCAAGUGCAGCAACUGCGAAAAGUUUGGUGAACUUGAAGACACAGGUUUCAAACAGGAAGGCCUAUUUUGAUAGUUCAAAGCUUGGGUUCUUAUCCUUUGCAGCCUUAUUUUGAAGGAAGACAAAUGGAGCUCACUGUUGUGAUUAUUGACACUUAACUCCUAUUUACAGCAAACAGUAUAUUUUUUCCAAUCGAAACAAAACAUUUAAAAUAAAUUACCUCACUCAUUUUUAA